CAGUAGCCGCGGUAAUACGAGGGGGGCAAGCGUUGUUCGGAAUUAUUGGGCGUAAAGGGUGCGUAGGCGGUUUGUUGCGUCGGGAGUGAAAACCAGGUGCUUAACACCUGGCCUGCUUUCGAUACGGGCAGACUAGAGGCAUUCAGGGGAGAACGGAAUUCCUGGUGUAGCGGUGAAAUGCGCAGAUAUCAGGAGGAACACCAGUGGCGAAGGCAGCCCCCUGGGCCAAUACUGACGCUCAUGCACGAAAGCGUGGGGAGCAAACAGGAUUAGAGACCCCAGUAGUCCCUGUCUCUUAUAC
rnacentral:rRNA from 1 species